rnacentral:rRNA from 1 species
GAUGAACGCUGGCGGCGUGCCUAAUACAUGCAAGUCGAGCGAACAGACGAGGAGCUUGCUCCUCUGACGUUAGCGGCGGACGGGUGAGUAACACGUGGAUAACCUACCUAUAAGACUGGGAUAACUUCGGGAAACCGGAGCUAAUACCGGAUAAUAUAUUGAACCGCAUGGUUCAAUAGUGAAAGACGGUUUUGCUGUCACUUAUAGAUGGAUCCGCGCCGCAUUAGCUAGUUGGUAAGGUAACGGCUUACCAAGGCGACGAUGCGUAGCCGACCUGAGAGGGUGAUCGGCCACACCGGAACUGAGACACGGUCCAGACUCCUACGGGAGGCAGCAGUAGGGAAUCUUCCGCAAAGGGCGAAAGCCUGACGGAGCAACGCCGCGUGAGUGAUGAAGGUCUUCGGAUCGUAAAACUCUGUUAUUAGGGAAGAACAAAUGUGUAAGUAACUAUGCACGUCUUGACGGUACCUAAUCAGAAAGCCACGGCUAACUACGUG